rnacentral:lncRNA from 1 species
CUCAAAAGAGAACUCUGUUCUUUUGCAAUUAAUGCAUUGACUUCGAGCAUUAAAUGUGGCGUGUCUUGGACUCUGUCUGCAUGUCCAGAAGACAUCAUUUUUUUCUUUAGUUCGUCAUAGUCAUUAGUGUGACUAUACUUGUCUUCAGUUGAACUGCUUGCUAUGACUCGAUGAUUCUUCAGGUGUUUCCAGUGUGAAUUCCAUCAGUCGGGUCUGCAACCCUGAAGCAUUCCGGACUUGUAAGAGGCUUUCAAUCGAAUUGUUCUUCAGUUGAGUUGUCGUCUUCAGUCUUCAAUACUUCAGUCUUUGAUCUAGCUACUUAAAGGGACUAAAACAUUUAAGUCCAGAAAGAUAUCCUCUAGCUAGAAAAUAUCUUCUAAUAAUUUUGGUAUUAUCAAAACACAAGAGUUGAAUAUAUAUUUCUUUUUCCAACAUCAAGCAAUUUGAUUCGUAACGCAAUAAUUUUC